rnacentral:ribozyme from 14 species
AAACGAAAGGAGAAGAAAUAUUGUGAAAAGUGGGAUGAGAUAGAGAAUUUGUUUUCUUUCUUUCUUGUUUGUUUGUUUGUUUGUUUCA